GAUGAACGCUGGCGAGAUGCCUUAUACAUGCAAGUCGUACGAGAUUAAAAUCAAGUGGCGGACGGGUGAGUAACACGUAAGAAUUUGCCUUUAGGAGGGGGACAACAAUUGGAAACGGUUGCUAAUACCCCAUAUGCUUUCGAGUGAAAUGGAUUUUUCUGCCUAAAGAGAAGCUUGCGUCUGAUUAGCUUGUUGGUGAGGUAAUGGCUCACCAAGGCGACGAUCAGUAUCUGGUUUGAGAGGACGAUCAGACACACUGGAACUGAGACACGGUCCAGACUCCUACGGGAGGCAGCAGUAGGGAAUUUUCCGCAAUGGGCGAAAGCCUGACGGAGCAAUCUCGCGUGAGGGAUGACGGCCUAUGGGUUGUAAACCUCUUUUUUCAGGGAGGAAUAAAUGACGUGUACCUGAAGAAUAAGCAUCG
rnacentral:rRNA from 1 species